ACGAUAAUGAGCGAUUAGCGAUAUCUAAUUUCUCCCAAACUAUAAUACUGAAUGUUUUGGAAACGUUUAAACAAUUGCAUUAAGACAUCGGCAGCAAAAGAAAAAAAAAGAGCCACAUUUUAUUUUAGCCGAAUUUUAAAGGACACUAAUUACCUGCAUAAAGUUAUGAAUUUAAUUACAACAACUUUAUAUAGGCUAAUACGACAAUCAUUAGUCUACUGUUUAAUGUAAUAGUACACCUCUUGAAAAAUCCAUUACACCCCUUUAUAAAAAGAUAAAAUCUGGAAAACUGUUUGCAUUUCGCUACACCAAGCGAGAACAUUAAAAAUGAAGUGUUAUACCAGUAUUGACUUUCAUAAGUCUAUAAAGUGUAACGACUGUGGUUACCAGCGGUUGGAAUUUGGUUACAUAACGCAUCAUUAAAAUUGUUACAUAUAAAUGAAAAACAAAACACCAAAAAUGCUGGACUUUUUAUGGCUCCUCCAAUGACUUCCAGAACAUGCAAAAAUAAAAGAUUUUAGGCGUCUUAAGACGCGUUAAAAAACUGAACCUGUUCAAACGGAGAUGCGUUUACGUGACGCAGCAGUAGAGCUGAAGUCCAGCCCGGUUCCGAAUCCGCUCCCUCUCCCGGGCUCACGGAGGAGUCACGUGUGCAGCGCUGCGAGCGAGCGAAUGAGAAACGGAGAGCGGGAGAGAGAGAGAGAGGGAGCGAAUGUGCGAGGGAGGGAAAGAGAGAGAGAGAGAGAGGAUAGGAGAUGUUAAAAGAGACAUGACAAAAUAUCCAAAAAGGAGACGCACGCCGUAUCAUGCGCGCUAAAUUUGUACCCGCUGGAAAUCGGGAUGUCGGAUCGACGGUGACGCGCAUCACCCCAUUUCACGGAGGAAACGAUUUCGCUGGAACUUUGGAACGGAGGGUCCGCGGGGAAACAUGGCCGAAGGAGGGCCGCGCAGAGGUGGCGGGUCGGACACCGCCAGGACUCCGCCGCAGAUUCUGGCUGGCUCGGGUUACUGCAAGUGGUUUAAUGUCCGCAUGGGGUUUGGAUUUAUAUCGAUGACCAGCAGCGAGGGGAAGCCAGUGGACCCUCCACUAGACGUGUUCGUUCACCAAAGUAAGCUGGUGAUGGAGGGUUUCAGGAGUCUUCGGGAGGGCGAGCAGGUUGAAUUCACCUUCAAGAGGUCGAGUAAAGGUCUGGAGUCGCUCAGGGUCACGGGGCCCGGCGGGGGCCCAUGCUCGGGCAGUGACCGACGCCCCAAAGGGAAGGUCCCGCCCCUCAAACGCAAACCAAAGGGAGACCGGUGUUAUAACUGUGGAGGUCUGGACCACCACGCUAAAGAGUGUGGCCUUCCGCCCCAGCCAAAGAAGUGUCACUACUGUCAGAGUGUCACACACAUGGUGGCCCAGUGUCCCCACAAGAGGGCGCUGUCCCCCUCCACGUCUCAGGACCCCCAACGGCCCUCCACCUCAGCUCAGUCCCAGGAAGAGGAGAGCCGGUCAGGCUCGUCCCCCCGCGAGGGCCCGUCGUCCUCCCCGGAGGAAGCAUCUCAACGGGGGAGUCACUCCCAGCGCUGGAGGAAAAGCUGGGACUGAAAUCCACCUCCCUCCCAAGACCCGAAAUCAUCUACCUCACAUGGCCGGGUCAGAGAGGAGACCCUCCCUUCCCGUGCAGCUAUGGUAUCAGCCAAUGGGAGUAACUCUAGAGCAAACUAGUUUCUGAAUGUGUAACGGUUCAGCAUGAUCUAACACAGACCCGCCGCUCCUGCUGAAGGACUCCAUAUGUUCUCAUGACAGCUCAGUGCAAAGAUUGUUUAGCGUUUUGUGCCUUUUAUUUUUAUUGCUUUAUGGCUAGACUUUUAAUCGGGAGGCAGACAGUAUCUUAUUAUGUCGGGGCAUUAUAGUUGCUAUAAAUAUCAUUCCAGUUGUGUUUAUUUGUAACAUCAGAACUAGAGAAGGACUCCAAUACAUGGGCAGCAGUAUUAAAUAUAUAUAUAUAUAUAUACGUAUACGCAAUGUAAAAUGGAAUAUGAUGUUGUAACUACUGAUUUAAUGCUGUUUGAUUUGAGAGAUUUGCAUCAAGACCGAACACAUUUCUGCCAGAAUGUUUGACAUCAUCAAAUCGAAGUGAUUUCUGAGCAGAUCUUUUAUUGUUUGUUCUCUGUUAUCAUUGUGCGGUUUUAUUAUGCCUCACUUUUAGCACUGAAUGUAUGAAACUGACCAAAGCCCAGGACUAAUGAAAAUAACACCUGUUGGAAAGUCUUGAUUGUUAUUGUAAUGCCUAAUUAAUCACUGCAGUCUUAUUAAUCAAUCAAAUCAUGUUCAUACGAGUCACACUUCUGUUUUAUUUCGACACAUACCUCUGUUGCCAUGCGGCUGCUGAACUUUGAAUGACUUUGUCUCUCAGAGAUUUUAUAUCUGUGGGUUUGUUUUAUGCCCUGUGUAUUUAAACUUUGACGUGCUGUAAAUCAGAGUACGGCUCAUUUUUAACAGUGUCAUACUUUAAGUUCCAGUGCAUUUCUCAGUUCUGCUGUCGAAGUGUAUUCAGAGCGGCGGUCAUUUCUGUUUUUAACCUCAUCGAAGCACUGAUUGCCUCUUAUGAUAUUAUUUGAAGAACAUAUCACUCAUUGUAACCACGUUUAUAUGCAUUUUGCCUUCUUGUCUGUGAAUUUAGGACUUUUGAGUAUGUUUAACUGUUCUACUUGAUUGAUAUUAAACCUAUUAUGAAAACAUUAAAUAUGUUGCAUAAAAGA